rnacentral:rRNA from 1 species
CCAAUAGCGUAUAUUAAAGUUGUUGCAGUUAAAAAGCUCGUAGUUGAAUUUCGGGGUUCUACCGUUGGUCGGGCUACCAAGUCUGUACUGGUGUGUAGAAUUCCUACCUUCUGGGGAACUAUCAUGUUAUUAAUUUAGCGUGGUGGGAAACCAGGACCUUUACCUUGAAAAAAUUAGAGUGUUCAAAGCAGGCUUAUGUCUGAAUACAUUAGCAUGGAAUAAUAGAAUAGGACGGUGGUCCUGUUUUGUUGGUUUCUGAAUCACCGUAAUGAUUAAUAGGGAUAGUUGGGGGCAUUAGUAUUCAAUUGUCAGAGGUGAAAUUCUUGGAUUUAUUGAAGACUAACUUCUGCGAAAGCAUUUGCCAAGGAUGUUUUCAUUAAUCAAGAACGAAAGUUAGGGGAUCGAAGACGAUCAGAUACCGUCGUAGUCUUAACCAUAAACUAUGCCGACUAGGGAUCGGAUGAUGUUAAUUUUUUAAUGACUCAUUCGGCGCCUUACG